ACCAAGGAUUCAGCCAGCACCUACGUCUCUUAAAGCUCUGAUUGGCCAGACGGUGGUGUUGCCAUGUGUGGUCCAAAGAGAGCCGAGCCCUCAGAUCAGCUGGCUUCAUAACGGACUUCUUGCGGGCAGUGAUAGGAUGCUGAAGAUCCAGGCAGUCCAGCACUCGGACAGCGGCACAUAGAGUUGUGUAGCCAGAAAUAGUGCGGGAGAAGAUACCGUUGAGAUUGUUCUGGAUGUUUUAGAGGGCCCCUAUUUUGAGACAAAUGGAGAGACCAUCAUUGAGAGUGUGGCAAACAGCAGAGUGAUUAUCCCUUGCCCUGCUCGAGGUUCUCCUGCUCCUUGGGUGCGAUGGUUCAAAAAUGGCCUGGAGAUUCAUAUGGAUCGAUCGGAGCAAGGAGUGUCUUUGGCUGAGAAUGGCUCUCUGGUGAUUGGCUCAGUUUCGCCAAGUCACAGUGGAGAUUUUAAGUGUGUGGCCACUAAUGAAGCAGGAUCAGUGGAGAGGAAGACCAGGCUAAAGGUCAAUGUUCCACCAGAAAUCCAAGAAGAUGGGCAGCCUUUGAAUCUGACAGUCACACUGAAGCAGCCCCUCACACUGGGAUGUGAUGCUUUCGGUAUCCCGACCCCAACCAUCACCUGGACUAAAGACAACAGACAUCUCCCCAUGCUGUUGAGCGCACAGAACCGACUGAGCAGGUGGCCGUGGUCCAGGGGCUCUUCAGUAACUCUGACCUGUGAAGCCCGUGGUGUGCCUCCUCCAACUCUUAUCAUGGCUAAAAGAUGGCCAACCGCUUUCACUGCACCGUAAUCUUCUGAUGGAUGGACAGGAAACUCGACUCCUAUUCUCUGAUGUGGGUCCCAGUGAUGGAGGCCUCUACAGCUGUGUAGCGAGCAGGCCAGGCAGGAAGCAGUACCAAGACUUUCAAUCUAACAGUGCAAGAGCCCCCCAAGAUCUCGGGUUCUUCCUCACCUGACGAGCAGCUGGUUGCAGUGGACAGUGUGCUGGAGCUGGAGUGUAUUGGCAACCGGUCUUCCCCCUCCUACCUCAGCUGGAUGAAAGAUGGACAUCCACUACAGAACAGUAUGGCAGUAUUAGAGAGAGAUGGGCAACUGCUCAGGAUCAACAAAGUUCAGCCCCACCACAGAUUUCUGCUGGUCAGUCAGAGAUGACCGUCAUUCAGGGAUUUCAAGCACUGCUGCCAUGUGCGGCACAGGGUCUUCCAGAGCCCAGGGUGAGUCCCUGUGUCAAACCUAC